CCUACGGGAGGCAGCAGUCGAGAAUCAUUCACAAUGGGGGAAACCCUGAUGGUGCGACGCCGCGUGGGGGAAUGAAGGUCUUCGGAUUGUAAACCCCUGUCAUGUGGGAGCAAAUUAAAAAGAUAGUACCACAAGAGGAAGAGACGGCUAACUCUGUGCCAGCAGCCGCGGUAAUACAGAGGUCUCAAGCGUUGUUCGGAAUCACUGGGCGUAAAGCGGGCGUAGGCUGUUUCGUAAGUCGUGUGUGAAAGGCGCGGGCUCAACCCGCGGACGGCACAUGAUACUGCGAGACUAGAGUAAUGGAGGGGGAACCGGAAUUCUCGGUGUAGCAGUGAAAUGCGUAGAUAUCGAGAGGAACACUCGUGGCGAAGGCGGGUUCCUGGACAUUAACUGACGCUGAGGCACGAAGGCCAGGGGAGCGAACGGGAUUAGAUACCCGUGUAGUC
rnacentral:rRNA from 1 species